CCUGGUGCCCAUAGCGCCGCGGAUCCACCCCGACCCAUCCCGACCUCGGCGGUGAAACGCGGCUGCGGUGAAAAUACUGGGGGGUUCGCCCCCUGGGAAGAUAGCUCGGUGCCAGGG
rnacentral:rRNA from 1 species